CAUCAAAGUACCGCGAGAGUUUGGGAAAGCCCCGGAAAAGGUUUGAACUCGCGGUACUUGAUGUCACGAUCGGUUUGCGUGUAGAUCAGCAUGAAGUCGAACACAUCUGAAAGAUGUGUGGGCUGCCUGCACUCAACGUUGCGAUAAUUCAGUAGAGUGUAACCUCAAUCGGUUUUUGCAGCUUCUGGGUGUCGUGUCGAACGAUCGCAGAACGAUAUUUUGUUCUUUUCCAACUCGAUUUUUAACUCCCUAAACUAGUAGGAUGUUCCAACGGGUGAAGCAACAGUGCUGACGGCAGAGUUUCAGUGUCAAUUUUUCAUGCCAUGAUCACUGGGGCGGAAACCAUUAUGACGUUGCCUUGGACAUCAAACUAAACCAUCUCAUUCUGGCUUUUUUCUAACAUCGAAAUCUCAGAAGGACAGGACUAAGAUGGACGCAGCCUCCACAUGCAACCUUGCAUUUGAGGAACACCCAUAGAACAGUCAACUUACCCCAUACUCUAACCUGAAUGCAGGGAUCAUAAAACUUUAUCUUUUACCUUAAUUGUUAGAUGGUUGUUGAUACCAAACUUUUUUGUCUCGUCUACCCAGGAGAAAGUCAUGGGUUCUGCUGCUGAGUGUCUUUUAUUCUGCUUACCUGACUCAUGCAGAAUUCUGGCUUGAUGUUUGGUCCACCUGUUAGCUGGCUCUGGUGCUUGGUAGUCUUCUCAAACCUCUGAAUCAAGGCCACCAUGAGAGGCCUUCUGAAGACCAUCAUUACGCUUCAGAUCCAGUUGUCUUUACUAUGAGCCUACCACAAUCCCUGUGCACCAGCUAUGGAAAGUGCAGACCAAACUUCUACCUCCACCUAUGGGACUGAACUGGAGUCUGUGAACUAAUGCUGUGUUCGAGACAACUUGGAUGUUGGAUAUUAUUGAGCUCAAACCCGUAAGAAGUCUGGAACAGCAAACAAAGUUGAGUAUCCGACCUCUCAACUUGGGACAGAUCGAUCAACACCGACCUCAACGAGAUGCAUCAUUUGACAUUGCAGACAAGUUGGUGGCUAGCCUUUCACAGCCUUACAUGAACCGCAAACAAACUUGAAACUAUUUUUACAGCACAUA